GAACAAGAGUCCUGCAAAGCAACUCCACAAGUUCAAUUACAUACCCUGCUCAUGAGAUGGGAUCCAGAGUAAAAUCCAGUGUGUUCCACUAAGUUUGCAUCAGGAGCAGCAGGAACACAAGGCGGGCAACACAGUAAACAACAACCACUUCAUUUGUAUCUAAUAAAGUAAACAAUCAUCAGUGUGAACAUGCAUGGAACCAGAUUUGGAAGAUCUUUUGCACAGAAUAGCAUGUAUGUCCAAAGCACCACAAGAGACACUUUCAUGAGAUGGAAGUGCAAAAUGCUUGAACCUUACACCACUUAUCACACUGGGCACAUCUCUGGCCCCAGCUGGGACCCCUCAGGAGAGCUGCAAUGCCAGCAGAGCAGCCAAGAUGCAAUGGAAGGGAAACAAAGAGACAUGGCACACACUGAGCUAGUGAUGAAUGACGCCCACAGGAUCCUCCUUGCCAUCCAUCGGCAGGAUUACAGCCACAUGCGCACCCAACACCAGGCAGCUGUUCAGAAGGGGAGAGAGAAUGCUGGUGUUCAACCGAUGGACGGAAGACAUAAAACUGAUGAACUGUCAGAAGCCAGUCAUAAUUUUUUUGGAUUAGC
ensembl:lncRNA